GUAGGGCUUUCGGUACGCGCCCUCGUAGCAGAAGAAGCCUUGCACGUUGACGGUGAAGGUGUCCGUGUACUCGAAGUAAUAAGCCAGCAUCACGGUCCCUGCCAUGAUCACCAUCUGGAAGUAAAGCAUGCUGUUUGUUUAUGAGGAUGCAGCAAAGACAGAACACUGAAGAAAGCAGAAAACCCAAGUGGCAAAAGUCAGCUACAAAGACACAAAGCAUUUGUAAACCCUGGGAUUCUGCCAUGAAUGACACCAUCACCAGGCCACUGAGGAUACACCUCACAGGAAUUCAGGAAUUUCCUGCACUGGUUCAUUUCCUAAAGCCACACUUUUUAUGCCCCCUGCAGCACAGACACCUCUGCACUUCAAGAAACUCCCACCUUCUGCAGAUAUCUCCUCUACACUAUCCUUUUUGGCUACAAAGCUAAGCUCAGAGCAGGACUGAAAAGACAAACAUAUUUAAGGCACUAGGCAUGCUCGCACUGAAAGUUGUGUGUUUCUCCAAAUGACUGGAUUCCUACCAAACAAUUGCUGCAGGAAGCAUUAGUUUCCAUCAAUCAUUAUUCAGAUACUUCCUCCUAUCAAGGUAUUUCUGCCCUUGGAGAUGUAUUCAAAAUUUAUAAGGCUCUGAGGAACCUUACCAAAAAGUGAGGUCAGCCCUGCUCUGAACCUAAAAUUUUCUCUGGUUCUGUGAGUUAUAUUUGAUUUACUCCAAGUCAGACAUUUGCUGGUUUUAAUCUUAAUGGUUACAAUCUGUUCUAAUGCUGGUUCACUGAAAUUAUUGUAAUUCACUUGAUUAUUGUAAUUAAUAUCUAAGAAUAAAAUCAUAUUUUCUCUAAA